AUACUUAUCUAGUAGGGGAGAUACCAUGAUCACAAGGUAGUUUUCCCAGGGUGAGGCUUCUCCAUUGCACUCCUUCUGGAUGUGCUGACCCCUGAUAUUUCCCCAAAUGCAGGAAACUCGACUGUAUAAUUUAUGGUAGUGGGAGACUAUGUUCGCUUUCUCCCCUG